AUUAGAGUUUGAUCCUGGCUCAGAAUCAACGCUGGCGGCGCGCUUAACACAUGCAAGUCGCACGAGAAAGAGGCGCAAGCCUUGAGUACAGUGGCGCACGGGUGAGUAACACGUGGAUGAUCCACCUUGUUGUGGGGAAUAACCUGGGGAAACCCGGGCUAAUACCGCAUACGCUCUUCACAGAGGAAAGCCGCAAGGCGCAGCAAGAGGAGUCCGCGGCCGAUUAGCUGGUUGGCGGGGUAACGGCCCACCAAGGCAACGAUCGGUAGCCGGCCUGAGAGGGCACACGGCCACACUGGCACUGCAACGCGGGCCAGACUCCUACGGGAGGCAGCAGUGGGGAAUCUUGCACAAUGGGCGCAAGCCUGAUGCAGCGACGCCGCGUGCGCGAUGACGCCCUUCGGGGUGUAAAGCGCUUUCGGUCCAGACGAUGAUGACGGUAUGGGCAGAAGAAGCUGCGGCUAACUACGUGCCAGCAGCCGCGGUAAUACGUAGGCAGCGAGCGUUGUUCGGAGUUACUGGGCGUAAAGAGUGCGUAGGCGGCAUGGCAAGUCUGGUGUGAAAUCUCCCGGCUCAACCGGGAGGGUGCGCCGGAGACUGCCAAGCUCGGAGUACGGGAGAGGCACGUGGAAUUCCUGGUGUAGCGGUGAAAUGCGUAGAGAUCAGGAGGAACACCGGUGGUGUAGACGGCGUGCUGGACCGUGACUGACGCUGAGGCACGAAAGCGUGGGUAGCAAACAGGAUUAGAUACCCUGGUAGUCCACGCCCUAAACGAUGCAGACUUGGUGUGCGCCAUUCAGUUGGUGUGUGCCGGAGCUAACGCGGUAAGUCUGCCGCCUGGGGAGUACGGUCGCAAGGCUGAAACUCAAAGGAAUUGACGGGGGCCCGCACAAGCGGUGGAGCAUGUGGUUUAAUUCGACGCAACGCGAAGAACCUUACCUGGGCUCGAACGGCGCCGGACCGAGAGGGAAACCUCUUUUCCCCGCAAGGGGCCGGCGUCGAGGUGCUGCAUGGCUGUCGUCAGCUCGUGUCGUGAGAUGUUGGGUUAAGUCCCGCAACGAGCGCAACCCUUGUCCUGUGUUGCCACCCCCGCAAGGGGAGCACUCUCAGGAGACCGCCAGCGACAAGUUGGAGGAAGGUGGGGACGACGUCAAGUCAUCAUGGCCUUUAUGUCCAGGGCUACACACGUGCUACAAUGGGCGGUACAGAGCGCAGCGCACCCGCGAGGGGGAGCCAAUCGCCAAAAGCCGUCCUCAGUUCGGAUUGCAGGCUGCAACUCGCCUGCAUGAAGCUGGAAUCGCUAGUAAUGGCAUAUCAGAACGAUGCCGUGAAUACGUUCCCGGGCCUUGUACACACCGCCCGUCACAUCACGAAAGUGGAUGGUACUAGAAGUCUGCGGGCUGACCCGUAAGGGAGGCAGCGGCCCAAGGUAUGAUCCAUGAUUGGGGUGAAGUCGUAACAAGGUAACCAAU
rnacentral:rRNA from 1 species